AUGGAAACCGCCAUCAAAAACGUCACCAAUGUGGUUCGCUCCAUGAAGCUGCUCAAGGUCGACGGCUACUGUGCCACCAAAACCAUGGGCAACGAGGACUGCAUCAAGUCCACUUACAACAUUGGUGGCUAUGAGUGGGAGAUCUGCAUCUACCCCGCGAUGAUGCCGCGCGCAAGCGACGGCACUCCGUGGGUGGCGGUGAAGCUCGUGUUCCUCAGCGAGACCUGUCCGUCCAUCGUGAGGGCGAACCUGAGCUGUCGUCUGGUUGAUCCGAGAAGCGUGCUUCGACCGUCCGAAGAAAAGAGUGUGUCAUGUAUAUUCAACCGUUCAUGGGUAUCACGUUUUCUGCAGAUGUGCUCGCCUUUUGUCAGUGAAGAUUUUUCGCUUCCAGUCCGUCUCAUGUCGACGGGCACCCUAGCAUCAUCCGGUUAUCUCAGGAAUGAUUCUUUUACGGUGCUAUUUGUCGUCACGGUGCUGAAGGAUGAUUUGCCAGCACGAGCAAUCCCAGGUAAAGAAGUGACUGUGUCAUCACCGAUCCUGCAGAACCACCUUGCUGAGCUCCUGCGUACUGGGUUGGAAGCGGAUGUCACAUUUCUCGUGUCCGGCAAGUCCUUCGCUGCACACAAGGUCAUUCUGGCUGCAAGGUCCCCUGUACUGAUGGCCGAGUUCCUUGGCCACAUGAAGGAGACGAGCUCUCGCAGCGCGUGGAGAUCAAGGACAUUGAUGCGGUGGUAUUCAAGUCGUUGCUUUACUUCAUCUACACCGACUCUGCUGGAAUUUUGA
rnacentral:rRNA from 1 species